CUCUUAUCCAGAGAGGUGGAGGGACCGGCCCUAUGAAGCCUCGGCAACCUGUGACACACAAGGUGCCAAUUCCGACAGAUGGAUGUUUCUGGAAGAUGAGAG
rnacentral:ncRNA from 2 species